rnacentral:rRNA from 1 species
CGGAGGGUGCAAGCGUUAUCCGGAUUCACUGGGUUUAAAGGGUGCGUAGGUGGGCAGGUAAGUCAGUGGUGAAAUCUCCGGGCUUAACCCGGAAACUGCCAUUGAUACUAUUUGUCUUGAAUACUGUGGAGGUCAGCGGAAUAUGUCAUGUAGCGGUGAAAUGCUUAGAUAUGACAUAGAACGCCAAUUGCGAAGGCAGCUGGCUACACAAAUAUUGACACUGAGGCACGAAAGCGUGGGGAUCAAACAGGAUUAGAUACCCUGGUAGUCCACGCCCUAAACUAUGGAUACUCGACAUUUGCGAUAAACUGCAAGUGUCUGAGCGAAAGCAUUAAGUAUCCCACCUGGGAAGUACGAUCGCAAGAUUG